AUUGAACGCUGGCGGCAGGCCUAACACAUGCAAGUCGAACGGUAACAGGAAACAGCUUGCUGUUUCGCUGACGAGUGGCGGACGGGUGAGUAAUGUCUGGGAAACUGCCUGAUGGAGGGGGAUAACUACUGGAAACGGUAGCUAAUACCGCAUAACGUCGCAAGACCAAAGAGGGGGACCUUCGGGCCUCUUGCCAUCGGAUGUGCCCAGAUGGGAUUAGCUAGUAGGUGGGGUAACGGCUCACCUAGGCGACGAUCCCUAGCUGGUCUGAGAGGAUGACCAGCCACACUGGAACUGAGACACGGUCCAGACUCCUACGGGAGGCAGCAGUGGGGAAUAUUGCACAAUGGGCGCAAGCCUGAUGCAGCCAUGCCGCGUGUAUGAAGAAGGCCUUCGGAUUGUAAAGUACUUUCAGCGGGGAGGAAGGGAGUAAAGUUAAUACCUUUACUCAUUGACGUUACCCGCAGAAGAAGCACCGGCUAACUCCGUG
rnacentral:rRNA from 1 species